rnacentral:rRNA from 1 species
UACGUAGGGGGCAAGCGUUGUCCGGAUUUAUUGGGCGUAAAGAGCGUGUAGGCGGCCAGACAGGUCCGUUGUGAAAACUCGAGGCUCAACCUCGAGACGCCGAUGGAAACCGUCUGGCUAGAGUCCGGAAGAGGAGAGUGGAAUUCCCGGUGUAGCGGUGAAAUGCGCAGAUAUCGGGAAGAACAUCCGUGGCUAAGGCGGCUCUCUAGUACGGUACUGACGCUGAGACGCGAAAGCGUGGGGAGCGAACAGG